rnacentral:rRNA from 1 species
ACAUCGCCUCUUGCAUAUAUAAGAGGUCCAGCCUGCCCAGUGACUUAGUUCAACGGCCGCGGUAUCCUAACCGUGCGAAGGUAGCGUAAUCACUUGUUCUUUAAAUGAGGACUCGUAUGAAUGGCACCACGAGGGUUACACUGUCUCCUUUCUCUAAUCAAUGAAACUGAUCUCCCCGUGAAGAAGCGGGGAUACACAUAUUAGACGAGAAGACCCUAUGGAGCUUCAAACUAUACAGCACUGGCUUUUAUCUUUUUCCACUUCAGAGUUUUUAAUUUUAUUCUAGCCUUUUGACUAUUAGUUUUAGGUUGGGGUGACCACGGAGCAAAAAUUAACCUCCACGAUGAACAGACCAACUCUUGAGCUAAAAGCCACAACUUUAAGCACCAAUAAACUGACACAAAUUGAC